AGUGAACGCUGGCGGCAGGCCUAAUACAUGCAAGUCGAACGGCAGCACAGCAGAGCUUGCUCUGUGGGUGGCGAGUGGCGGACGGGUGAGGAAUACAUGGGAAUCUGCCCAGUCGUGGGGAUAACGUAGGGAAACUUACGCUAAUACCGCAUGCGCCCUUCGGGGAAAGCCGGGGACCUUCGGGCCUGGCGCGAUUGGAUGAGCCCAUGUCGGAUUAGCUAGUUGGCGGGGUAAUGGCCCACCAAGGCGACGAUCCGUAGCUGGUCUGAGAGGAUGAUCAGCCACACUGGAACUGAGACAUGGUCCAGACUCCUACGGGAGGCAGCAGUAGGGAAUAUUGGACAAUGGGCGCGAGCCUGAUCCAGCCAUGCCGCGUGAGUGAAGAAGGCCCCUCGGGUUGUAAAGCUCUUUUGUCCGGAAAGAAAAGCGCCGGGUUAAUACCCUGGUGUCCUGACGGUACCGGAAGAAUAAGCACCGGCUAACUUCGUGCCAGCAGCCGCGG
rnacentral:rRNA from 1 species